ensembl:lncRNA
CAUCCACCUGGAGCAGCAUAUGGCCACAGCAUGUUGUGCUCCGUGAGAAAUUAGCAGAACGCCAAAACAUCCCGGUGUGGUGAUGUAAUGCACCUUACAAGAGUUUUGCAAGAAUGGGCUUGGGUGGGUUUUGUCUCGAUCUGCCAGCUUCCUCCUCACCAUCGCACUGAGAGAAAUCUGCUCUGAUGAUUAGCGCUCGUCUCACACAGGCUUCAUUAUCUGCCUCUGUGUUUCAGAUCACCACAGACAUGACAGCAUGGCUGAAAGUCACGGCAUCAAAGGAAGCGAUAUUAAUGCUGACUUCAAGGUCAGAACA